GAAUAAUGGAUUCGAGAAAAAAACGAAAAAGUGCCUACCGAGUUCCUGUUGGUAAUGAUCAAUAAGCUGCUCGAAGUUUACGAUUCCACCGGCGUGUUAUUCAAAUUUGAAAUUGUUUUAUUAUUUAACCAACCCUCAGCAGUUGUCCAAGAAAAAAAUUGACCAAAGAAAGGUAAUUACAAAGGAUCGUCGGUACUUGAUAAAAUUUUCCUUUUGCGGAAGGCUUGAGCCAAACUUAAAAUUGACACUAAGGGAUAGAUACCUCGUUCCUUGGUUUUUCAUGAUUUUGAUGACCUGCUGUAUAUGUUUUCAUAUCCAUCGAAACAUAACGAGAAGGAUGUCCAAAUCUUCAUCAGCCGGGAGAUUUGUGAACAAUCUUUGUUUAAUUUGGUUUACCACAAGUUGUUUUACAUGCUGACGUUGAUGGACUGGUGGAAGGUGAUGAAAGGCAAACGCAUCUGGAACAAUGAUUCAACGUUAGACAAAGAAACAACGCGUGAAGCGAGCAUAGGUGGCGAUAUUCUAACAUUGUAGUUGAAGUUGGUAGUGGAAUCUGAGAAAUCUAUGUUGAUAGUAUUAAGGCAUGUACGCGGACGAAUCGAAACAGGCUAAAAAGAAAAGGUUUUAAACCAAAAUUUGAAAAAUACAAAAAAGUGAAUCUUAGGUUUUAAAUUUUGCGUUUUAGCUGGCACGUGUUUAAUUUAUAAUCAUUGUUUUCAAUAGUAUUGUAAAAUCAAAACAUGAGUAUAGAUCACAAAACUGAAGAAAGUGGAAAACAUGCACCGUGAGCGGCAUUUUUCAAUCAGAUUGAAGUUACUUAGGGAUAAAUCCCAUCGCACAAGCCACUAAGUAGGACGAACAUUUUUUUGGUGCAGCAAGCACCUAUGUGGAAGUAAUGUGUGGUUCAGGUGGUAAUAGUUUUUCACAAAAAAGAACGAUUGCGUUCGCAGUUUUGAAAUCAAAAAAUAAA